GAUGGAGCUGGAGGGCCCUCAGGAGCUGGCGGCCCGUGUUCUUUGAACCCUUUUGCUCAAUUAUAGCUACGCCCCUGAACUAAAGAACCAUUCAAAUGCUGCCCUGGAUCAAUUAAUGGAUUAACCAAAAACAGCACACAGAGUAGGGGGUUUCUAGCCUUUUGCAGCAUGUGAUUGGUGGGGUUGUUUGCUUUUGGAUAUUUUUGAUGCUGUCAUUAAUCAGUCUAAUCAUUACCUUAAUUUCAAUUUUAGGGUACAGCCCUCAGGGAAAGCAGGCCCCUGUGCAGGCAGCCCCAUUGUAAUGCAAGGGAGCAAUGUGAGAGCGCAGGAGAGAUCUCUUUCAGUUCAUAGAGGCUUCCACAGGAGCAUUUCCUGCAAGAUUGUGCCCAUGAUUAAUGGAUAGAACCAACUUUUAAUGCGGUAGGGUAAGGUUUAGCUGAUAUUGCGAAGAGGCACACUUGUUGGAGGCUAUUGUUUCUAUAAUAAGAAGGACUUCCAAAGAACAUGUGAAGAAGGGGCUUUUCUUUUUUAAGAUGAAUGGCAGCUUUUGUUUAUGGACUUGUAGGCUCACUUAUACUCCCUUUAAUAUUUCAUGACCUGUACUACUUCAGACUGCAGGUGGGGUUUACAUGACGGAAUAUUUCUUUAUAUUAAAAAUGCUCAGCAUAAAAACUAGAUAUAAAAACUAGAUGCCAGGGAGAAAGGUUCUAGCUUCUAGCCUAGCCUUUUCCCUGUCAUGCUCGUUUUCUAUGUGAUGAGGAUAGUAUUUUUAAGGCAUGUUCAAUUUUGUGAGCUCUCACCUGAACUCUGAAGUGGUAUAGAUUGGGGUUUUUUUGUAUCCCCCCCACACCUUUUUGUCUGUUAUGAUUUAGUGUGUUGUGUGUUUUUAUCUCAUGUUUUAAUGUUGUGUUGUAAGCUGCCCAGAGAACAAUUUGUUAUGGGGUGGCUAAUAAAUAAAGUUCAUUGUUGUUGUUGUUGUUAUUUAGACCAGACACCAACAAACUAGGCCUCAAUCUUUACAGGUUUUUGGAUCACGAGCCGAUUGUGCAUGCAUAUAUGUACCAACUCGAUCAAUUAAUGCUUAUAUACAUAUGACUGUUUCACACUUGUAUGGUCAUCAUUUGAUGAGUGCAAUAUCAGCUAAUGACUGACUUUGAGCAUUGCUACAUGUUACACUCAUCAUGUGAAAAGUAGCCACAUGUAAAAGUAGCCACAUGAUUCUGACAGUUGAGAAUUGUGAAAGAUUCCCUGGAGAUAGGCCAAGAAAGCCGGAGGGUUUUAUAGACCUCCUGGACUUUCCCCAUCCCAUUGUUUAACUUUGCCAAUCUUAUGUCUCCUUUUAGUGGCUGUGAUGUUUAGGGAGAAGAAUAGUGACAAUUAAAACAGAGACAGGAAAGCACAGGUAAACAACAGGAUAGAGAAGGAUGCCUCCACAGUCUCCUCCAGUUUCUCUGCCUGUCUCCAGGUAAGCCCUCACAGAAUGCUCAAGUCAGAGCCUGGGGUAUAUGUGGUUAUUUUUUGUGAGAUGACUGCAGUAUGUUAGGGGUGUUCAUGGAACCAGCUGGUCCGGUUUCGUUCAAGUCUGAACCGGACCAGGAUAGUUUGGUCUGGCACCCCCUCGAAUCUGCGCCCCCCGGUCUGGUCCGGUGGGGUUGGUGAACUUUUCAAAUAAUAACAUAUUUUUAAAAACUUACCCCCUCUGGGGGUGUUCUCCAAGGCAGCAGCAGGGGGUGUUCGGAGGUUCCUCCUCCCCACCGGCCUCCUUUUGUUCCAAAACUGGCCCAUUUGUUCCAAAACCGUUUGUUUCCCUAGCACAGUGGCCAUAUACAAAAACUCGUGAAGCCCCCAAACAGACAGGGAGCAGAGGGGUUUGGUCCAGGGUCAGACCAAACAGCGGGUGGUUCAGUUCGACCCCAAACCAUCAAACCAAACUGGUUCGACAUCAAACACAUUUUACGUCGGAACUGUUUGCACAUUCCUUCACUAUGUUGUCAAGCUUGAAUGGGUUAAUUUGAACCUGACUUAAACCACUGAUUUAACACACAAGCACAACUUUAAUUUCACGUCACAUACAAUAUUUUUCAGUAGAAUCAGUUUAUAGAUUCAACUGUCAAUGAUGAAUUAUAUGGUAAUGCAGAGAUAUCAAGUGAUUUAUAUUAGGGAUGGGCAAAUCGAUUUGGGUAUAAAACGAUUUGUACCCAAAUCUACCUGUUUGCAAAACAAAUUGCCUCUGUGCUAGCUGGCCAGAUUCGGGUCCAAACCAAAUCGCCCAGAUUUCGGACCUAAAAAAUUCAUAGAAUCAGACCUCCAUAUUGUGACAAUCUCUUUUGCUGUCUCCAUUUUGUUUUAGGAUUUUUUUUUGAAAAUCCCACCCUCCCAAGCUUCAGAUUGGUGACUUAUAGUGUGCAAUGAUUGGCUGGUGAUUCCCCCCUGGUUCCAGAUUGGCUCGUUUCCAUUCAAAUAUUGUGCUGCCAGGGGUGACUGACUCAGCAUUGGCUAGGGGAAGGGUGGGGAGAGUUUGAAGGAGGGAUUUUCAAAUGUACUUAAGGAAGCAGCCAGUCACUAUUCUGCCUUUCUGCCUCGUGGGAUGAGAGAGAGAGAGAGAGAGAGAGCGAGAGAGCGCCAGAGGAGCUUUGCCUUGCCUUGCCUGCUUGUGGCCUGGAAUGGAUUCUCUUCUUUUUGUUCCUGCUUUCCUGAUUGAGGAAAAGAGAAGAGAAUUUUUUUCCUGAUUGAGGAAAAGAGAAGAUAAUUUUCCCCCACCCACUUCCUGUUGCUGAGAGAAUCACUGUCUGCGCCUGCUAUCUGUGAGAAUUGAUUUGGGUACAAAUAUGAUUUGUACCCAAAUCUAUCUGUUUGGGGUGAUUUGUGAAUAAAACAAAUCACCCCUGUGGUGAUUUGGACCACAAAACACUCAGCUGGCCAGAUUCGGACCCAAAACAUAUCAGGGGUGAUUCGAUUUGGGUACAAAUUGAAUUAGAAAAAAUAUAUUCAUGCACAUCCCUAAUUUACAUACAUGUGUGAACCAGGCUUGAUGACUAGCUGCUGAACAUGUGAAAAGAAUCCAUUGAAAAGCAUUAUGUUGGAGGUGGGUGAGGAGUUGUGAAAGUUCUAUUUGUUUUAUGGAUGAUAGCCCAUUCAACAACAACAACAACAAAAAAAUUUAUAUACUGCUUUUCAACAAAAGGUUCAAAAGCAGUUUACAUAGAGAAAUAAUAAGAAAAUAAGAUGGAUCCCUGUCCCCAAAGGGCUCACAAUCUAAAAAGCAGCAGAAAACAGACACCAGCAACCGUCACUGGAGGUCCUGUGCUGGGGGUGGAUGGGGCCAGUUACUUUCCCACCAUGUUAAAAAGGUGCCUCUUUGCCCAGUUAGCAGGGAUUCUUAUAUUCAGACAUAUGAGUAAUCAAUAUUGUAGUCCCCAUGUGAUGAAUAUACAUGUGUGAAUCAGCCCUGGGAGACUAGUUCCCUCAUCACACUUUCCAGAAAAAAGUUGGCGCUCAGCUUCACAGACCUCAAUUACCAGCCUUCCUUCCCCUACCCCUUAGGAGUCUCCAGGCAGCAGGCCUCGUUUGAUGUCCCUUGCAACUUGACUCUGUCUAGGCUCAACCAACAUUAAUAAGCAGCUAAAACCAGAGCUGCCAAUUUAUUUUUAGAGUCUUCUUCUUUGGUUAUUUUCAAAUGAUCUGUUAUAAUUUCAUGCUUAAAUAACACUAAAUAACGUUCUGUGUUUGCACAGUGUAAUUGGAAGAGACGAGAGGCCCAGGCAAACCAUCAUUGCUUGAUUUUUUACUGAUAUUUUCAACCAGAAAAGGGUUGACAGUUAACCCUUUCAGAGCAUUGCCAAACAGAGCCUUUGACUCUGCACACUGCCUGGAGCUAUCUAAAGGAACAAAAUGAAAAGGAAAGCCCUCCAUAGAUGGCUGGGUGUUAUCAAGGAAAAAAUUACUUUACAUAUUUUGCAUCGUUAUUAUUCCACAAACCAUCAGUGUACAUGGGAUCUUGCCAAGUAGCAUAAGCAGAGCGGAUGUUUUCCCUGCGAACCUUACCUUAUAAAUGUUGACAAAAGGGGAGACAAUAAAAUGAGGGGAAGGAAAUAUCCCUAGCUGAAUGGAGACGUAUGGGGGCAAAUGGGUUCAUGAUUCCCAAACCUAAUCCUAUAGCCAGGGCUGCAUGUAAUGCAAGCCUUUUUUUUAAAAAAAAGCUAAAGACAUCCAGCCAAUCAGUUGCUUAGGUGGCAACUUGUGAAGGAAGGAUUCACUCCCCUGGCACAAGUCUUUUGUUCCCCCCAAAGAGCCAAUCAUCAGCAGGAUUCCACAACCCCAGCAGCUGGGUUUGCUUGUUGUUAGAUUGGUUCCAGAGAGGGGGGAAAGUGUGAGAGAGGUAACAGUAACCAGGGCCCAGGGUGAAUGUGAACAGGAACAAUAAAAAUAUGCACUUGGUUUUGGUGAGGACUACAGAGCUUCAGCCAAAGACUUCAUGAAAAAGGCAAGGAGGACUUUCAAGUGAGCAAGAGAGAAGAGUCAUCCCAGACCCAGAGGAGAUCUGAGCGGGAGUUCCAGGCAUUCUUCUCCUGAGAAAUUCUGGAGAAUGAUGAGCAGGGCCAGAUUCUCCCCAAGUCUACACAUGGCAGAUUUUCCUUUUGGUUCUCAAAGAUUGCUCACACAGCACUCAUGGCUAUCUGUGUUAAGAACCUCUGGUUAACACUGGGAACCUUUUUCCUUGGCAGUUGUGACUUGUAGUCAUUUUUAAAGCACUGACUUGACUGGGGGUUUAUCUGACCCCAAUAUCAUAUUAUGAAAUGCUUUUUACAAGCAAUAGAGGUUUAAGAGACACAAACAACUGUAUACAUUUAUUCUUCACUUUAAAUGUAACAUUUUUCCCCCUGAAGUGGAAAACUACUCUGGAGAUGUUGGGUGGGUGGGGGGAAUAUUGGUUGGGUAUUGAUCUCACGGGCACCAAUUGAGAUCAAUACCACUGCUAGAUAUUCCCCAUUCAAGCUGUUGAUAAUAGUCUGAAUUUGGUUGUUUUAGAGUGUGAUUUGAAUAAUAUGUUGUUUUGCCAUAAGAUACUUUCACCAAUCUCAUGAGAGGGCCAGUCUACUGGGGAGGACCUUAGGUUUGCAAAAACCUUCAGUCUUCUGUCAGACUGCACACUCAUGAGAUGAGCAAACCCCCCAAAGGAGGCCCCAUUUGCACGGGCCCCCUGCUAUCUCUGGUUAAUGAUAGAACUUUUGCACAGCGACCCCCUCCUCUCCAGGGAAGCCUUUCAUGCACCCAAAGGAGUUUUUGAUGCUCCUGUGUCUGGAUGUAGCCAGGUGGGCAGACUGGGGAAACACCAGGACUGGGGACAGAUCUUUACGCUCAUUCAAAUUCCCUGGUUUCGGACUGGCAUCCCAUCAUAUGCAGAUCUGCGGUCGCAGGGUAUUGCGGGAGAGGGGAGCCCCGUAUUCUAGUGACCCCAGGAGAUUUUGGUUGCGCUUCCAGGCAAAAACAAAGAUGGCUAUGUUUGGGCAGAUGGGCUGGCAGAGGGCAUGCUUUGACAGCGUAGCAAUCACUAAGAGAGGGAGAGUGUUGCCAGGGUACCCAUCCCUGCGGCUUGCUUGUAUAGAGCAACCUGGCUGGGCAGCAUCUGCUGUCUGGCCCCCAUGAGUGUCUGACACUCUUAUGAGAGAGUGGUUCAUGGGAGAAGUCCAUGUUCGGACAUAAUGCUGCCACUGAAAAACCUCAGGUUACAGUGGCAAAACGCACUACCAACCCAAGAUUCAAACUGGAGUUUGGUGAGGCAAACCUCAGGUCGCUUUUGCUGCGCAACCGUGGUUGCACGCGUUCUGUUGUAAUGGAGUUCCAACCUCUGCCCCAUUUAACUGUGGCUUUGCAUGACAUGUGAAUGUGGCCAUUCUGUCUGUCCUUAACCUUGGUUAAAGAUGUCCUGUCCAGUUGCUAUUUUUCUCCUAUCAAUGUUCCGUCCUCUUUUUUACACUUCCUUUUCUUUCCCCUGCCUUUGCAUUUGGUGCUUGUGUGUCUUGGCUUCUAGCCACAGCUUCCCAUUGUAUGCAGCUCUUUGAGUUUCUGCUCCAUCCACACACCCCUCCCAUACUCCCUAAUGCACAAACCCACCCCAGCUCUGUUUGUAUCACCAUUUGCAUUUCUGCUGACUGUGAGGAUUGGUUUAAUUUCAUGGGUGUCAUUUCCUUCUAGAAAUCUCUCUCUGAGCAGCGGCCCAACGAAUCCCUGAUAAAACAUAUUUUUCCUACGGUAAUGAUUUUAUGGGCCCAUAAGUCAUGAAUUUAUUAUGAUCUCAGCCCCUGCUGCUGAUUGCUGUAAAAUGCAAAGUAAUUAACAGCGAGCGACAGCUACUAUUCCCACCUGGUACUGUGUUCUUUCCUACACUGAUGGCUUUGAUUAAAGUAAUGACUAAAGUGUGAAGCUGGGCUGUAAAAUAUUAGCAUGAUUAAUGCCACAUCCUAAAUAAGAAACAAAACUAAUGGGUGAAGGGCUGGGGAACUUUUAAAUAAAUAUAUAUAUUCUCCCCCCUUGUCUCCUUCCAGCCAUUGUUCUGUCUCAUUUAUGCAUUGCUUUUUGUUAAAUAAUGUAUGGCUUUGAGGGAGGGCCAUAGGGCAUACUACCAAAGCAUCUUGCAGGCUGACAACAUCUUAAGUGCCUGUGUUAAUUUUAUAGCCCUUUCCGCUGGACAAGAGAAAGGGGACAGGAUUCUUAAUGGCAGAGAUCCUGUAGCAGUUUAGAGAGAACAGGGAUGUAUAAGGUAAAAUUGCUAGGGAAAAAAAUAUACAAUCAAAGUUAACCGAAUAUUUAUUUAUUUAAAAGAUUUGUAAGCCACCAUUCUUCACUUAUGGAUUCAUGGAAGCUUAUAAAAUUUUUUGUUAAAAGUCCAGAUAAGAGAACGCAAAGUACAAACUUUUUGUGUGGAGAAACUGACUUCUGUUCAUUAGGCUCAUAAAAGAGAUAUAUAUUUUAGAUGUAACAAUAAUAAUUAUUGUUAAUCUUAAGUUUCAUAUUAUAUGAUUUAUCAUGUGAUUGUUUCAUGUUUCAUAUGUAUUUUUAAACAUCUGUUGGAAUGUUUCAAUUGCAUUUUUAAUGUUUUCUUAAAAUAAAUGUUUUUUAAAAAGAAAA